rnacentral:tRNA from 1 species
GCCUUCGUGGUGUAAUGGUCAGCACGGUCGAAGCGUAUUCGAGAGGUCCGUGGUUCGAGUCCCGGCGAGGGCA